AGCGUUUUCUAGCCUAAAUCCUGUCGGGUGACUUUUCUUGAGCCAGCAGUGCAGGGUGGUGGUGAAACUCCUACGGACAAGUACCAUGGAAAUGCCAGUUUCAGUGAGAUGCUCGAGGGACAAAAAAAAUCACAGGCUUCAUUUUUCCUUAAAAAUAACACACCAUCUUUUUCCCAGGGGAGGGGAGAUAUUUUCACCUUCUUCCUUGUUGUUUCAGUUUAUGGGAAGAGCAUGUGAGUGAGGGUGCUUGUGUGUGUCUCUUGCAAGUUCAUCUGUAGUCGGCCCCUGGGGAAUGCUGGAUCUAUGACACACUUUAUCCUUCUGAGAACAAAACCUUUCCCAGGGAAAGGAGGACAAAAGAAAGACUUGGCAAUUGGAUUCUGUUCUGCGGUAUAAGUUCCUGGUGCCCUCAGAAGACAAAAAUGGGGUUCCACGGACCCAGCACCAACGGUUCUUUCUGUCAGAGGAUCUGGCUCUGCUGGUCCCUCACUCCACUGGCCCCUUGGAGAAGGUGUGCCUGAUUCUCAGGGAAAGCCCCAGGCUCAGGUCCUGGGAGUUUUCAGAUGGCAGAAACCGUGAUGACAUAACAAUUUUCAAUUUUCAAGUCUAAAUUUUAUUCUAGUGUGAUCGUCACGGUGGAAAGUCAAAGCAAUUCAUAAGCAUGAAGUACAAGAUAAAUGAAUAGAUGAUGCUUGCUCAUAUUUUUGUAUGAAAGCUGGAAGCCAAGUGUUUAAGCCCACACAACUAACAUCACUUUUGAACACUAUACAUAUCACAUGUUGUUAGAAUAAACUAAAAAGCAGGCAAUUACUGAAUGUAGUAUUUUGGAACGUGAUGGCCGUUGAAGAGUGUUUGGCAUAAUCCUGACAGUCAUUGCCUUGAUUUUGUUCUUCUUAUUUCUCGUCUGGAUGAUUGAAAUAGGCUUGCAAUUGGACCUCUUCCUCAGCAGCCCUCCCAUCUGUCCUCCGCGCUGGUGCCAGAGAGAUCUUCACAAAACACGACCUUGAUCAAGUCCCACUUCAUUUAAAAUUCUGCACUGCCUCCUCAGCACCAUCAGACUGGAGUCCAAAUUCUUUAAUGAAGGGUUCAGUGAGGACUGGUCUUUAAAAAUUUGUUUGAAUUUGGAAAAUGUCAUUGGAAGGGUUAUCAGCAAUUUUUGCUGUUGUGUUUUCUAUUUGUUUGUUUUUGCUUUCUAGGCAUAGAGAUUGGAAUUUGUCUUUGGGAAAUCCCCUUUGUUCAGAGACACCAUCACGACAGUCACCUUUAGUUAUGCAGAAGAAAUAAGAGAAGUAAUAAGGACUUAAAUAUUAUUCUUGUGGAUGGGCUGAAGUUUAUGAGAUACCCCAGUGGAAAAUGCUCUAUUUAAUAGUGUAAUACUUACAACUAAAACUUAUUGAGCUAAGUGCUAUGUGCCAGAUAUUCUUCUAAGAUUUUUUUCUAAUUGGGGUAACAUGGGUUUAUACCAUUAUGUAACUUUCAGGUGUACAUCAUUAUAUUUCAGCUUCUGUAUAGAUUACAUCGUGUUCACCACCAAAAGUCUGGUUGCCAUCUGUCUAAGCUUUUUGUAUUAAUUGAUUUAAUACUCUCUUACAAUCCCUUACUAUUGACGAAAUGGAGACACGGAGAGGUUCAAUAACAUGUCCAACGUCACGUAGACAGGUAGCUGGUAGAACUGGGAUUUCAAUCCACGUAGUACAACUGCAAAGCCCACAUUCCCAAGCACUGCGUUCUGGAGCCUCCAUUAGCAGGGCUAGGCCCCUGGAGAAUUCGAGACGCCUUUCCCACCCACCAACCUGGAUAUCGGAUGGAUCUUUCUUCUAAGCAUUUGGACGUGAGAAGUGAGAUCUGCAGCUUGAUCACGGCUGGAGAAACACGGUGCUUUAAUCUCUUUAAGCUGCUUUGGAGGAAGGACUGGAAAAGAGCAGUGCAUCCAGGACUGAGGCGUUGGCGUCCCACAUUGAUGCUACUUAAAAAUGAGUCACUCAGAUAUUAAGAAAUAUCCUGUGGACACUU